UAUAACCAAGGGAAACUGGGUAUAAUACCCGAUAGGUCUCGAUUGCUGGAAUGCAUCGAGAUUUAAAGCUCCGGCGCCUAAGGAUGGGUCUGCGGCCUAUCAGGUAGUAGUGGGUGUAGCGUACCUACUAGCCUACGACGGGUACGGGUUGUGAGAGCAAGAGCCCGGAGAUGGAUUCUGAGACACCAAUCCAGGCCCUACGGGGUGCAGCAGGCUCGAAAACUUUACAAUGCUGGCAACAGCAAUAAGGGAACCUCGAGUGCCAGGUUACAAAUCUGGCUGUCGAGAUGCCUAAAAAGCAUUUCAUAGCAAGGGCCGGGCAAGACCGGUGCCAGCCGCCGCGGUAACACCGGCGGCUCGAGUGGUAACCGUUAUUAUUGGGUCUAAAGGGUCUGUAGCCGGCCGGAUAAGUCUCUUGAGAAAUCUGGCAGCAUAACUGUCAGGCUUUCAGGAGAUACUGUCUGGCUCGAGGCCGGGAGAGGUGAGAGGUACUUCAGGGGUAGGGGUGAGAUCUUGUCAUCCUUGAAGGACCACCAGUGGCGAAGGCGUCUCACCAGAACGGACCUGACGGCGAGGGACGAAAGCUAGGGGCACGAACCGGAUUAGAUACCCGGGUAGUCCUAGUCGUAAACGAUACUCGCUAGGUGUCGGCCACGGUGCGACCGUUGUCGGUGCCGUAGGGAAGCCGUGAAGCGAGCCACCUGGGAAGUACGGCCGCAAGGCUGAAACUUAAAGGAAUUGGCGCGGGAGCACCACUACGUGUGGAGCUUGCGGUUUAAUUGGAUUCAACGCCAGAAAUCUUACCGGGACCGACUGCUUUAUGAAUGCCAGGCUGAAGACUUUUGCCGGAUUAGCUGAGAGGUGGUGCAU
rnacentral:rRNA from 1 species